rnacentral:rRNA from 1 species
UGAGUCCGAGGAGCUACGGCUCUUAAGUGAUACGAGUCAGACUUCCCAGAAAAGCCCGAACCACGUUAAUUUCUAAUUACCUGUACCCGAAACCGACACAGGUGGGUAGGUAGAGUAUACUAAGGGGCGCGAGAUAACUCUCUCUAAGGAACUCGGCAAAAUGACUCCGUAACUUCGGGAGAAGGAGUGCCUUAUUUAUAAGGUUGCAAUAACAAGAUCCAAGCAACUGUUUAUCAAAAACACAGGUCUCCGCUAAGUCGUAAGACGAUGUAUGGGGGCUGACGCCUGCCCAGUGCCAGAAGGUUAAAGAAGUUGGUUAGUGUAUGCGAAGCUGAUGACUGAAGCCCUGGUGAACGGCGGCCGUAACUAUAACGGUCCUAAGGUAGCGAAAUUCCUUGUCGGGUAAGUUCCGACCCGCACGAAAGGCGUAAUGAUUUGGAUACUGUCUCGGAGAGAGGCUCGGUGAAAUAGACUUGUCUGUGAAGAUGCGGACUACCUGCACCAGGACAGAAAGACCCUAUGAAGCUUUACUGUAACUUGAAAUUGGAAUUGGACUUUGCUUGCGCAGUAUAGGUGGGAAGCGUUGAAGAUAUUCUUGCGGGAGUAUUGGAGCUAUCAGUGAGAUACCACUCUUGUAAUGUUAGAUUUCUAACUUUGAACCAUAAUCUGGUCAAAGAACAGUUUCAGGUGGGCAGUUUGACUGGGGCGGUCGCCUCCCAAAUGGUAACGGAGGCGUACAAAGGUUUCCUCUGAACGGAUAGAAAUCGUAUCUAGAGUGUAAAGGCAUAAGGAAGCUUGACUGUGAGACCUACAAGUCGAGCAGGGACGAAAGUCGGUCUUAGUGAUCUGACGGUACUGAGUGGAAAGGCCGUCACUCAACGGAUAAAAGUUACUCUAGGAUAACAGGCUGAUCUCCCCCAAGAGUUCACAUCGACGGGGAGGUUUGGCACCUCGAUGUCGGCUCAUCGCAUCCUGGGGCGGUAGUACGUCCCAAGGGUUGGGCUGUUCGCCCAUGAAAGCGGUACGCGAGCUGGGUUCAGAACGUCGUGAGACAGUUCGGUCCAUAUCCGGUGUAGGCGUUAGAAUAUUGAGAGGAGCCUUCUUUAGUACGAGAGGACCGAGAAGGACACACCGCUGGUGUACCAGUUAUCGUGCCAACGGUAAACGCUGGGUAGCUAUGUGUGGAGUGGAUAACCGCUGAAAGCAUCUAAGUGGGAAGCCCACCUCAAGAUGAGUAUUCUCAC